GGGGCUAUAGCUCAGCUGGGAGAGCGCUUGCAUGGCAUGCAAGAGGUCAGCGGUUCGAUCCCGC
rnacentral:tRNA from 1 species